CCUUGUUGCUUCGGCGGGCCCGCCGCUCUGGCCGCCGGGGGGCUCUCGCCCCCGGGCCCGUGCCCGCCGAAGACACCAUUGAACGCUGUCUGAAGAAUGCAGUCUGAGCUGAAUAGCUAAAUCGGUUAAAACUUUCAACAACGGAUCUCUUGGUUCCGGCAUCGAUGAAGAACGCAGCGAAAUGCGAUAAGUAAUGUGAAUUGCAGAAUUCAGUGAAUCAUCGAGUCUUUGAACGCACAUUGCGCCCCCUGGUAUUCCGGGGGGCAUGCCUGUCCGAGCGUCAUUGCUGCCCUCAAGCGCGGCUUGUGUGUUGGGCCCCCCGUCCCCCCUCCCGGGGGACGGGCCCGAAAGGCAGCGGCGGCACCGCGUCCGGUCCUCGAGCGUAUGGGGCUCUGUCACCCGCUCCGUAGGCCCGGCCGGCGCCUGCCGACCACCAAUCAAUCUUUUUUCCAGGUUGACCUCGGAUCAGGUAGGGAUACCCGCUGAACUUAAGCAUAUCAAUAAGCGGAGGAAAAGAAACCAACAGGGAUUGCCCUAGUAACGGCGAGUGAAGCGGCAAGAGCUCAAAUUUGAAAGCUGGCCCCCUCGGGGCCCGCAUUGUAAUUUGCAGAGGAUGCUUCGGGAGCGGCCCCCGUCUAAGUGCCCUGGAACGGGCCGUCAUAGAGGGUGAGAAUCCCGUCUGGGAUGGGGUGUCCGCGCCCGUGUGAAGCUCCUUCGACGAGUCGAGUUGUUUGGGAAUGCAGCUCUAAAUGGGUGGUAAAUUUCAUCUAAAGCUAAAUAUUGGCCGGAGACCGAUAGCGCACAAGUAGAGUGAUCGAAAGAUGAAAAGCACUUUGAAAAGAGAGUUAAAAAGCACGUGAAAUUGUUGAAAGGGAAGCGCUUGCGACCAGACUCGCCCGCGGGGUUCAGCCGGCAUUCGUGCCGGUGUACUUCCCCGUGGGCGGGCCAGCGUCGGUUUGGGCGGCCGGUCAAAGGCCCCCGGAAUGUAACGCCUCUCGGGG
rnacentral:rRNA from 1 species